GGAUGUGAGGGCGAUCUGGCUGCGACAUCUGUCACCCCAUUGAUCGCCAGGGUUGAUUCAGCUGAUCUGGCUGGCUUGGUGGGUGUCCCCUUCCUCCCUCACCGCUCCAUGUGCAUCCCUCAAGAAGGUGCAUGCUCGGUCGAAGAGGACAACCUUUCUUUGUAGAGGUGUACCGUUCAUUGGUCCAAUGGUAUAUGGUAGCUGCACUCCCCUGCUAGAACCUCCAAACAAGCUCAAGAUAACUUCACAGCUAAAUACUAUUCUUGAGCUGUUGCUGGAAGAAGCAAUGACUUUUUAUAUCUGCAGAAUUUACUACAUAAAAUUACUGUAAUCUGCAUUUUU
rnacentral:snRNA from 1 species